GGAGGUAUAGCUCAUGCUUAGUACGUACUAGGUCCUGGGUUCAAUCCCCAGUACCUCCU
rnacentral:tRNA from 1 species